UCAUGGAACUCUUGAAGUCUUUAUGGAGAUUUGCAGAUGAACUGCAGAGAAAAUGUGUAUCAUGGGUGGCCCCACGAGGCAAUAUAAUCUUCCUGGCUGUUCUAUCUUACGGUGCACAAGAAGCAGGUUGACCUAGUUCACCACCGUCAGCACACAAACUGGCAACAUCUCCAGGAACACGCUUCUAAACAAAUGUGACUCCAGAGUUAGUCCAUUGUACACCCUUAACUGGUUUCAUAAAAGGUCACCCAGAUGAGUUGCCUCUUCAAGUUCUCUGUGAGGACUCCUGUCUCCAUACCUGGAACCCAUGCAUAAGCAUGUUCUGAGACAACAGUUCACAACAUUGAAAACAACCUCCUGGGGCCAGGAUAUUGUCCAAAGAAUCAGUGAGAAAGAUGUCGGAAGGUGUUUUUAAUGUAAUCGCCUCGUUAUUGGCCCAUUAUUUGAAGAAGUCUGAAGGUGACAAUUAGCCAGGCCACAUGAACCAACGACAAAUGGAGGGUAGACAUUACAGAGCCAAACCGUCAGGAAGAAGGCUUCCCAUCUCCCAAGUCUAUAUUUACUUGUCACGUGUGCCAGAACGACAAAUGCAUCACACAAGCCAGAGCUUCAUGAGCAUGUCUUCUGAAGGUAUGUGGCGUUUAAUGAAAAAUCUGUAAGUGUGUUUAUAAAUUGGAUGACACUUCAGACCCAGGAAGUCGCUCACAUACUUUGGCUCCAGAAUCACUUUCCUGGGAAUUCAUCCCAAAAAAAUAGCUCAGCAGAUGUGAAAACAAACAAACAAACACAACAUUUAUAAAAUAUGCAUUGUUAAUUAUUUGAGAGCUAUUAAAAGCAAUCCAAAUGUCCAACUGAGUCCAUGUCACAUUAUUAAGACAGUUAAAUCGAUUUCCAAAAAUACAAUGAUUAAGACAAUGUAGGAAACCAAAUGUUUAU